rnacentral:rRNA from 1 species
UACGUAGGGUGCGAGCGUUAAUCGGAAUUACUGGGCGUAAAGUGUGCGCAGGCGGCCGAGCAAGUCGAGUGUGAAAGCCCCGAGCUUAACUUGGGAACUGCGCUCGAAACUACUUGGCUAGAGUGUGGCAGAGGGAGGUGGAAUUCCACGUGUAGCGGUGAAAUGCGUAGAGAUGUGGAGGAACACCGAUGGCGAAGGCAGCCUCCUGGGCCAACACUGACGCUCAUGCACGAAAGCGUGGGGAGCGAA